ACAGGCUUCGACGGGAGAGGCUGGUUCCGAAAUGCGAGCCGAGAGUGUACCGAACUCGUAAAAUCAGUACAAAAACUCAAGUGCCAACAAAAGCACUUCAUACGCUGCUAUGCCCCUCGCUGCAUAAGCGAACCCAUAACAGUAUGAUGUCUUAGGACAUCACGUCUGCCGUUACCGCCCACUAUCGGGUGACGAGUCAGGCGAGACAAAGAUAGUGUGCCGUGCAUGACUCUGCUAAAUGCACGAAAGACUAGCAGAUGGUCACAGGUUUACUAGCCCGCUGAGAUGCCUGUGAUGACGAAAAUCAGCAGGCUACGCUCGUAGAGUUUCGAGAGUCGAAUCUUUCGGACGCGGGUUCUUUAACAACUGAAUAGAGCCCCCU
rnacentral:tmRNA from 1 species